UAACACGUGGGUAACCUGCCUUAUAGUGGGGGAUAGCCUUUCGAAAGAAGAUUAAUACCGCAUAAGAUUGUAGUAUCGCAUGAUAUAGCAAUUAAAGGAGCAAUUCGCUAUAAGAUGGACCCGCGUCGCAUUAGCUAGUUGGUGAGGUAAUGGCUCACCAAGGCGACGAUGCGUAGCCGACCUGAGAGGGUGAUCGGCCACAUUGGGACUGAGACACGGCCCAGACUCCUACGGGAGGCAGCAUG
rnacentral:rRNA from 1 species